AAAAAAACAAAAACGCUGUGUGUGAAGAAGACAAAUUUUUUACUAUUUUGAUAAGUCAAUAAUUUAAGUCGAAAUUCUCAUUAAAUCUUUUUCAAAUGGAAAACGAAAUUGAAGCAACAUCGCUAUUCAUAGGUACACUCCGCAACCAUCCCAUGUUAUGGGACAAAAAACACCCGGGAUAUUUCAAUCGUCUCGCUAGAGAAAAAGUUUGGGUGGAGAUUGGAGUCCUCACCAGUUUAACACAUGACGUUUGCAAAUCUAAGUGGAGCGCUUUAAGGGAUAAGUAUGCGAAGGUGCUAAAAAAAUGGAUACCCCAUCCGGAAGCGAAGCAUCAAUAGAUCCAGAAUGGGUUUUUUUUGAAGAAAUGACGUUCCUAAAGGAUUCAAUGAAACCACGAAAAACAAUAAGCAAUGAGAUUAAAGAGAAGGAGAAGCCCCCAGAAACUUCGGAGGAGGAAAUGACCCC